AUGAUGUGGAUGAAGAACUGGAUUCGUUCGAGAACGCUCUCUUUUCUGAAAAAUCAUGAGCCGGAGGUUGUGGCAGAUGAGUUGACGCCGGAAAUAAUUGAUGCAGCUGUUUCAUUUGUCGAGUUAGCUGCUAGCACCGAGAAGAAUAAGGGGAAGAAAGUUUACUACAGUGAAGGGCGUGGCAUAUCUCUGACUUCUGAAAGGAUUCGACCGGUUAUUGAUGCUUAUAUGGGACAUUUGGAGCUGCACGUUGGUCAUGAUCGUUACCUCUGUCCAGCGUGGAGGUCCAAAUUCCUUGUAGAUUGUGCUAUCGCACGAGAUGAUCCAUUGUCGUCGAGCUGCAACAUGGAUAGUGCUCUGUCUAAAGCUGGAGCAGUUAAUAGAGUCACGAAAGAGUAUACUGUGCGUGAUAAGGUACGUUAUGUUUACGUAUAUCGCGUUGAAUAUCGACAAUGCCCACUGGAUGACCGUGGUCAUGCACUUGAUCAAGAAAGAAUUCCAAGUUCUCGAUUCGCUCUAUCCUCUGGUCCUGACAGAAAAGACUGUGAAAGCACUGAGCGAAUGGCUAUAGCACACGAUAUGCAGGUAGCAAAUCUUAUUACACCAGGGAAAUAUCCGGACGAUGAUAUCACUUCUGAGUAUGUUGAAUGGGUUGAUGGGGAGUGGGAUAGCAAAGCAAAGUCAGUCAUUAAGUAUCUUGCCAUGAAGAACAAGAAACUGGAGACUAAGAUUACAGAAUAUGAAGUUGAAAUUAAAAGGAAUGAGAAAGAAAAGAGGGCAAUGGUUAAGAUGCACAAGGAAAUAUUUCUCUAUAGGGAUAGGAUUUUAGGAUUUGGAGGUCUUCUGUAUCUUGGCCUGCUUGCCAUUAUGAUUGCUGUCAUAGUUAGCAAGUAG
rnacentral:rRNA from 1 species